rnacentral:rRNA from 1 species
AUUAGUGCUCUUGACUUUAUGGCAACACUUAAUUCCAUUCCGAACUUAAAAGUGAAAUAUAAAGUAUGAAAAAAAUACUUGGGGGGUUGCUCCCUGGAAAGUUUUUCAAGUGCUUUUAAAUUUUUUAU